rnacentral:rRNA from 1 species
CAAAGGUGAGCCAGUACAGGAUGGACCCGCGUCUGAUUAGCUAGUUGGUAAGGUAACGGCUUACCAAGGCGACGAUCAGUAGCCGACCUGAGAGGGUGAUCGGCCACAUUGGAACUGAGACACGGUCCAAACUCCUACGGGAGGCAGCAGUGGGGAAUAUUGCACAAUGGGCGAAAGCCUGAUGCAGCAACGCCGCGUGAGUGAUGAAGGCCUUCGGGUCGUAAAACUCUGUCCUCAAGGAAGAUAAUGACGGUACUUGAGGAGGAAGCCCCGGCUAACUACGUGCCAGCAGCCGCGGUAAUACGUAGGGGGCUAGCGUUAUCCGGAUUUACUGGGCGUAAAGGGUGCGUAAGCGGUCUUUCAAGUCAGGAGUGAAAGGCUACGGCUCAACCGUAGUAAGCUCUUGAAACUGGGAGACUUGAGUGCAGGAGAGGAGAGUGGAAUUCCUAGUGUAGCGGUGAAAUGCGUAGAUAUUAGGAGGAACACCAGUUGCGAAGGCGGCUCUCUGGACUGUAACUGACGCUGAGGCACGAAAGCGUGGGGAGCAAACAGGAUUAGAUACCCUGGUAGUCCACGCUGUAAACGAUGAGUACUAGGUGUCGGGGGUUACCCCCUUCG